GCUGGUUUCAAGGCUAUGUUUUCUUUUAUACACCCCUGUAGUAUGCCUCAGAAUGAUAUUCAAGGGCCCUAGUGCCUAUAAAGUUUAUACAACUUUCAGCAACGGAUCUCUUGGCUCUCGCAUCGAUGAAGAACGCAGCGAAAUGCGAUAAGUAAUGUGAAUUGCAGAAUUCAGUGAAUCAUCGAAUCUUUGAACGCACCUUGCGCUCCUUGGUAUUCCGAGGAGCAUGCCUGUUUGAGUGUCAUUAAAUUCUCAACCCCUGGAUCUUUCUCGGGGCUUGGACUUGGGGUGUGCUGGCAUCUGGUCGGCUCCUCUCAAAUGCAUCGGCGGAAUUGAACCUUUGGUGUCCGUGCAUCAGUGUGAUAAUUAAUGUUGCGCUGUCGUCGGUCAUGGAAGUCCGCUUAUAAUGGUCUUCGGACAAACCCUUCAUCAAAUUUGACCUCAAAUCAGGUAGGACUACCCGCUGAACUUAAGCAUAUCAAUAAGCGGAGG
rnacentral:rRNA from 1 species